rnacentral:lncRNA from 1 species
GGCAUUCUGUAGGUGCGGCCAGGUAAGUUUCGGCUUAUGCCAUGUUGCGCCUGCGCAGUUGGUCUGUAUUGUUCCCGGGCGUGGGCUGCAUUUUCCCGCGCGCGGGUAAGUUGGUGAUGAAGAACCCGGAAAUGCGCCAUCUUAGUCGUCUUUGUCCUCAUCCCCCGUCCAGACAUGGCACGCGUAUGGUGAGAAUUCAUCUGAAGGUAACAACAAUUGAAACAUGCUGUACCAAUCCUCAUGCCCUAUUUCUCAAGCAGUGA